rnacentral:lncRNA from 1 species
AUUGGGGACACUCCUGCGGGAAGGUGCUGAGGGGGGGAGCUGCGACAACCGGCCCCACACCAGAAAAAGCCGGGGGCCGCUGAGCCCAGGCCACCAACAGGAGCUGUGGACCCAGCCUGACCCCUGGACCGAGGUGCUUUCAGGGCACAAGGGGGAUGCGGGAGCCUGUGGCUGCUGUCGCUUCUGCCCUCAGUUCAUAAACACACGCUGUGCACAUCCCCUGUGCUUGGCAAGGGGCCUGGAUGGAAGGGCCAGUGAGGAGACGCCCAUCCUCCAGGCACUGUGCCUCCUCCCAAAGGUCAGCAGCCCUGAGCAUCACUGUGCUUCCCUCCCAAAGGUCAGCAGCCCUGAGCAUCACUGUGCCUCCCUCCCAAAGGCCAGCAGCCCCGAACAUCACUGUGCCCUCCCCACAAAGGUCAGCACCCCGAGCAUCACUGUGCCUCCCUCCCAAAGGUCAGCACCCCGAGCAUCACUGUGCCCUCCCCCAAAGGUCAGCACCCCGAGCAUCACUGUGCCUCCCCACAAAGGCCAGCACCCCGAGCAUCACUGUACCCUCCCCACAGAGGUCAGCACCCCGAGCAUCACUGUACCUCCCCACAAAGGUCACCACAGAUGUCUCUGAGCGAAAAUCUCCAUGAUGCCAGCAGGCGUGUCCACAGAGGAAGGGGCGAAGAAAAUGGCGAAUGGACAGGCGACAAUGGUGAAUGGACAGGCGACAGGCAUCCCACCUAGCUCGGAAGAGGAGGACAUCCUGAGAUUUGCCACAACCUGGAGGCGAUUGAGCUCGUGACAAAAGCCAGACACAGAAAGACAAAUACCACGUUCUCAUUUGUGCAUGGGAGCUAAAGUAAACCCAGGUGCUCCCUGCUAGAAAGCCACACACGGCAGAGGAGAGCUGGCGAGAGGAAAAGCAGGUUCGACUCAGCGGCCUUUGGAGACGGCAGACUGAGAUUGUCACAGAGACCAUCUCAAGUCAGCACGAAUUCCAGGCUCUUUUAUGUUAAGGGCAGGGGGACAGGGAGGGGUUUGGGAUCAAGAGGUGACAGGUGACCGCACCCUCUGGGUGCCAGCGAGGGUCCGAGGAGGCUGGGGAUGCCUUCAUUGUUGGUCGGGUCAUGGAGCUCCUGUGAAUCCACAACAGAACAGCUGUUCACAGGCUUCCCCUUUCAUCCGGGAGUGAGUUUCAAAACCUGCACUAUGACUACCUCUGUGUAUUUUCUCCGGCCUCUAGUAUGAUCCUAGGCUCCGUGCAGGAAUGGGUGAAGGCCUCUUACACAAAAACAAAGUCAGGUCCUGAGUUCUUUUGCUGUUUGUUUGCUUUCUCCUGCACACUCGAAAAGGUGACUGGCGGAGGUGAGGCUGCGCUAAUUAGCUGGAUUGUGGUGACCCUUCCACAAAGCACGUGUAUGCCGGCAUAUUCACUGGGUCAUGCACCUCGAAUACAUAUUUUUACUUGUCAGUUACAUCAUAAUAAAGG